rnacentral:rRNA from 1 species
UCCCAGACUCCUACGGGAGGCAGCAGUGAGGAAUAUUGGUCAAUGGCCGGAAGGCUGAACCAGCCAAGUCGCGUGAGGGAAUAAGGCCCUAUGGGUCGUAAACCUCUUUUGUCAGGGAGCAAAGGCGUCCACGUGUGGACGAGAGGAGAGUACCUGAAGAAAAAGCAUCGGCUAACUCCGUGCCAGCAGCCGCGGUAAUACGGAGGAUGCGAGCGUUAUCCGGAUUUAUUGGGUUUAAAGGGUGCGCAGGCGGAGGUGCAAGUCAGCGGUCAAAUUGCGGGGCUCAACCCCGUACUGCCGUUGAAACUGCAUCCCUUGAGUGCGCGAGAAGUAUGCGGAAUGCGUGGUGUAGCGGUGAAAUGCUUAGAUAUCACGAAGAACUCCGAUUGCGAAGGCAGCCUACUAAACUGCCACUGACAUUGAUGCUCGAAAGUGUGGGUAUCAAACAGGAUUAGAUACCCCAGUA